GAGUUUGAUCCUGGUUCAGAUUGAACGCUGGCGGAAUGCUUUACACAUGCAAGUCGAACGGCAGCACGGGGGCAACCCUGGUGGCGAGUGGCGAACGGGUGAGUAACACAUCGGAACGCGUCCUGUAAUGGGGGAUAACCUAUCGAAAGGUAGGCUAAUACCGCAUACGUCCUGAGGGAGAAAGCGGGGGAUCGUAAGACCUCGCGUUAUAGGAGUGGCCGAUGUCGGAUUAGCUAGUUGGUGGGGUAAAGGCCUACCAAGGCGACGAUCCGUAGCUGGUCUGAGAGGACGACCAGCCACACUGGGACUGAGACACGGCCCAGACUCCUACGGGAGGCAGCAGUGGGGAAUUUUGGACAAUGGGCGCAAGCCUGAUCCAGCCAUUCCGCGUGAGUGAAGAAGGCCUUCGGGUUGUAAAGCUCUUUCGGCCGGGACGAAAUCGUAUGGGCUAAUACCCUGUAUGGAUGACGGUACUGGAAGAAGAAGCACCGGCUAACUACGUGCCAGCAGCCGCGGUAAUACGUAGGGUGCGAGCGUUAAUCGGAAUUACUGGGCGUAAAGGGUGCGCAGGCGGUUUUGUAAGACAGCUGUGAAAUCCCCGGCUUAACCUGGGAACUGCGGUUGUGACUGCAAGACUUGAGUGCGGCAGAGGGGGGUGGAAUUCCACGUGUAGCAGUGAAAUGCGUAGAGAUGUGGAGGAACACCGAUGGCGAAAGCAGCCCCCUGGGUCGACACUGACGCUCAUGCACGA
rnacentral:rRNA from 1 species